rnacentral:misc_RNA from 1 species
GUGAAUCAUCAAAUUUUUGAACGCAAAUUGCACUCUCCGGUUUUCCGGGAGAGUAUGCAUGUUUGAGGGUCAGCCUAAAAAAAAUCGACAUUGUCGCUGUUAUUUAAUGGUGACUUUCGUCGGCGAUUGGGUUAUCUUAAACCUUUUUUUUUUUGGUUUAAGGGACUAAAAAUUUUUUUUAAGGAUUCAUGGAAGUUUUUUGGGGUUUUUAUUUUUUUUAGGUUUAUGUUUUU